rnacentral:rRNA from 1 species
UACGUAGGUGGCAAGCGUUGUCCGGAUUUACUGGGCGUAAAGAGCGCGCAGGCGGUCGUUCAAGUCGAGUGUGAAAGCCCCCGGCUCAACUGGGGAGGGUCACUCGAUACUGAUCGACUCGAAGGCAGAAGAGGGAAGCGGAAUUCCCGGUGUAGUGGUGAAAUGCGUAGAUAUCGGGAGGAACACCAGUGGCGAAGGCGGCUUCUGGUCUGCUCUUGACGCUGAGGCGCGGAAAGCUAGGGUAGCAAACGGGGAUUAAGA